UUUGAUAAUCGGCGGCCGUUGCCUCCCUCCGCCUCACUACUUCUCCUUACACCCGCUCUCUUCCCUCCUUUUAUCUCCUCACUGCUCAAACCCCCAACCGAUUCCAAACCCUACACGUUAGGGUUUAUCAAUUUCAAUCUCUCUCUCUCUCUCUUUUUCUGAAAAAUUCAAUUUAGGGUUUUCGUCACUGUAACAGAAGCUGACCAAUUUCCAAAGAUGUCGAAGAGAAAAUUCGGAUUCGAAGGCUUUGGCAUAAACAAGCAAUCCACCUUCGAUUUCGAGCGGUCACAGCAAGCCCCUCGGCGGCUCUACGUCCCUCCGUCGUCUCGCGGCGGAAACAGCCACGACAACUUCGAAGACACCGACCUCGACAACAUUGAUUACGACGACAACGAUGGUUCCAAUGAUCCCGGGAAUGAUAACAGCCACGGCGACGGUGGCGGCGGUGAUGAGGAAGUAGAUCCUCUGGAUGCUUUCAUGGAGGGGAUUCACGAGGAGGUGAGGUCAGCUCCGCCGCCGAAGCAGAAAGAGAAAGCCGAGAAGUACAAGGACGAUGAGGAGGAGGAUCACAUGGAGAGUUUUCUGAGGGCUAAGAAGGACGUGAUGCUGACGCUGGCAUCGGAUGCUUUACACGCCGGAUAUGACUCCGACGAGGAGGUAUAUGCGGCCGCCAAGGCCGUCGAUGCCGGGUUGUUGGAGUACGAUUCGGAUGAUAAUCCCAUUGUUCUUGACAAGAGGAAGAUCGAGCCAAUUCCAGCUCUCGAUCAUAGUUCAAUCGACUACGAGCCUUUUAAUAAGGAUUUUUACGAGGAGAAAGAGUCGAUUUCAGGGAUGAGUGAGGAGGAUGUUUUUGAGUACAAGAAGAGCUUGGCCAUCCGUGCGUCGGGUUUUGAUGUGCCGAGGCCGGUCAAGACAUUUGAAGACUCUGGAUUUUCUUCACAGCUCAUGACUGCCAUAAAAAAACAAGACUAUGUAAAGCCGACACCAAUACAGUGCCAAGCUCUACCCAUAGUUCUUUCCGGGAGAGAUAUCAUUGGUAUUGCGAAAACUGGUUCUGGAAAGACGGCUGCUUUUGUCCUUCCAAUGAUUGUCCACAUUAUGGAUCAGCCGGAACUUCAAAAAGAAGAGGGUCCUAUUGGAGUGAUAUGUGCACCUACUAGAGAGCUGGCGCACCAAAUAUACUUAGAGUCCAAGAAAUUUGCUAAAUCACAUGGGAUACGUGUCUCUGCUGUAUAUGGUGGAAUGUCUAAGCUUGAUCAGUUCAAAGAACUUAAGGCAGGAUGUGAAAUAGUUGUUGCUACUCCCGGGAGAUUAAUAGACAUGCUUAAAAUGAAGGCACUGACAAUGAUAAGGGCAACUUACCUAGUACUUGAUGAGGCUGAUCGGAUGUUUGACCUUGGGUUUGAGCCUCAAAUUAGGUCUAUUGUUGGUCAGAUUCGACCAGACCGACAGACAUUGCUCUUUUCUGCAACAAUGCCUCGUAAAGUUGAAAAGUUGGCUAGGGAGAUUCUCUCUGAUCCUAUAAGAGUUACAGUGGGUGAGGUGGGAAUGGCCAAUGAGGAUAUCACUCAGGUUGUUCAUGUAAUUCCUUCUGAUGCUGAUAAGUUGCCCUGGCUUCUUGAGAAGUUACCUGGAAUGAUUGAUGAGGGUGAUGUUUUAGUGUUUGCUUCGAAAAAAGCUGCAGUGGAUGAGAUUGAGUCACAGCUUGCUCAGACAGGUUUUAAAGUCACAGCUCUGCAUGGUGACAAGGACCAGGCAUCUCGGAUGGAUAUUUUGCAAAAAUUUAAAUCUGGCAUUUACCAUGUUCUUGUUGCAACUGAUGUUGCUGCCCGUGGUCUUGACAUCAAGUCAAUUAAGUCAGUUGUGAACUUUGAUAUUGCAAAAGACAUGGACAUGCACGUCCAUCGAAUUGGUAGAACAGGUCGUGCUGGUGAUAAGGAUGGCACUGCAUACACUCUUAUUACACAGAAAGAGGCACGUUUUGCUGGUGAGUUGGUUAAUAGCUUGGUUGCUGCUGGUCAGAUUGUUUCCACGGAGCUCAUGGACCUUGCGAUGAAGGAUGGGAGAUUCAGGUCCAAACGUGAUUCAAGAAAAGGAGGUGGAAAGAAAGGUAGAGGGAGGGGAGGCGGUGGCGGCGGUGGUCGAGGUGUGCGUGGGGUGGAUUUUGGUCUGGGAAUUGGAUAUAAUACGGAGUCCAAUAAUUCUUCAUCGCAUACCGUUGCUAGUCGAUCUGCUACAGUAACACCUGUGAGGACAGGAAUGAUGUCACAGUUCAAGACUAAAUUCGUUGCUGCUUCAUCCAACUCUCCAAGUCAAGCUUCAGGUAACAGCUAUAGUGCACCCAGCAGACCAGCAUUACGAGGCUUUGUAUCUGGUGGUUCAAUUGGUGGGGAUGUAUAUAGAACUCAGGCAACCAGUACAAUUGCUCCUGCUCUUACCCCCGCUCCUACAUCAGUGGUAAACGUAUCUUCUCAGAACUCUGGAGUAAAUGCAAGUCAGAAGCCCUCUGAAAGUUCUAGAGAUAAACCUAGAGAAAGGCGGAGGCGGUCUGGUUGGGACUGUUAAUCAUACAGUUGAACUACACCACUCUCACAUGUAUGAGAAGUUUUGUUUUUGAUGUGGAAGAUCCAAGUCCUGAUAUGCCUGUAUUAUUGUUGAUCUUGAUGGAGGAAAUUACUUGUCCUGAAAUUAAAAGUUAAAAAGGACAGAUAAGAGUGUUCCAGAUCAAGACCUCAAGUGGUGUAUACAAACGAUUUUUGAUGUUUCCCCAAAAUUUUAAUUUCGAAGUAGGGAGGUUGUUGAGUGGGAAGAAGGUGAGUAGAUAUUACUUAUCUCUGUUAGAGUUAAUUCGUUACUUGGCGUCACAAUGCCCGUAUGACAUUUUCUUUGAUAGUUCUUUACCACUGAGAGCCUCUUCAUCGACUAGCUUUGGAGGUUGUAGUCUAUGUUGGAUGUUUUACAGAUUUGUAAUUUAUAAGGCUUGGUUGUUGUUGUUGUUUUCGUUCUACCGCGUGGCUGCAUUUUUCUACCAAAACACUCCUCUCCUCGUCCAAAAACCAACAAAUCAAGGGUUUCAAGUGGAGCAGAGGUCACUUACCGAGCUAUGAAGGCCAGUGUCGUCCGUAAUUCUUACCAAAUCAAAUGCGUGCGUGAGGCCGUCACGUAGUUGAACUUGUAGCUAGACGUACAAACAUAGCAUUUGUAUGAUCAAAGCCAAAGGAACGUAUAACUGUGUAUAUAUGUGUUGCGAGUAUCAAAUUAUGAGUGAGCAAAUGGGAUUAUGGUUC